rnacentral:misc_RNA from 1 species
GUGGCUGCAAUGGUUGAUUGGCCUAUGCCUACUUCAGUUAAAGAACCUAUAAGUUUUCUAGGCCUAACUGGGUAUUAUAGGAAAUUUAUUAGGCACUAUGGCAUUAUUUGUAGGCCUCUAAAUGAUUUACUGAAGAAGGAUUCCUUUCAUUGGAAUGAGGCAGCCUAAACUGCAUUUGAUACUUUGAGGAGAAUGAUGUCUGAAGCACCAGUCCUUG